CGCGGAAUAGAGCAGCUCGGUAGCUCGUCGGGCUCAUAACCCGAAGGUCACAGGUUCAAAUCCUGUUUCCGCAACCA
rnacentral:tRNA from 2 species